rnacentral:rRNA from 1 species
GGACCUGACUGCUAUCGGAUUGAUACUAAGCUAUGCGAGUCAUUGUAGUAAUACAAGGCAGACGGCUCAGUAACGCGUAGUCAACCUACCCUAUGGACGGGGAUAACCUCGGGAAACUGAGAAUAAUACCCGAUAGAACAUUAUGCCUGGAAUGGUUUAUGUUUCAAAUAAUUUAUUGCCGUAGGAUGGGACUGCGGCCUAUCAGUUUGUUGGUGAGGUAAUGGCCCACCAAGACUAUUACAGGUACGGGCUCUGAGAGGAGUAGCCCGGAGAUGGGUACUGAGACACGGACCCAGGCCCUAUGGGGCGCAGCAGGCGAGAAAACUUUGCAAUGUGCGAAAGCACGACAAGGUUAAUCCGAGUGGUUUCUGCUAAAGGAACCUUUUGUCAGUCCUAGAAACACUGAUGAAUAAGGGGUGGGCAAGUUCUGGUGU